rnacentral:rRNA from 1 species
GACGAACGCUGGCGGCGUGCUUAACACAUGCAAGUCGAACGGAAAGGCCCUGCUUUUGUGGGGUGCUCGAGUGGCGAACGGGUGAGUAACACGUGAGUAACCUGCCCUUGACUUUGGGAUAACUUCAGGAAACUGGGGCUACUACCGGAUAGGAGCCCCCGCUGCAUGGUGGGGGUUGGAAAGUCUCGGCGGUUGGGGAUGGACUCGCGGCUUAUCAGCUUGUUGGUGGGGUAGUGGCUUACCCAGGCUUUGCCGGGUCGCCGGCCUGGGAGGGUGACCGGGCACAUUGGGACUGAGAUACGGCCCAGACUCGUACGGGGGGCAGCAGGGGGGAGUAUUGCACAGUGGGCGGGAGCCUGAUGCAGCGACGCCGCGUGCGGGAUGACGGCCUUCGGGGUGUGAACCGCUUUCGCCUGUGACGAAGCGUGAGUGACGGUAAUGGGUGAAGAAGCACCGGCUAACUACGUG